ensembl:lncRNA
AUUCACUUUAUUUUUUAUCAUAUUAGUUGGCUCUUGCUCUAAACUAAGCACUGUCAUAAAAUGCAUUUUUUCCAUGCUGGUUUUUUAUUGUGGUAUCAGCUAUUGCAUGUAAAUUACACUUAGAAAGCUGUGGUUGGUGGUUCCUAUCUAGGUACGCAGUUUUUGGUCACAGGUCAAAAGUCUGUAUUUAUAAGAUAAAAAAAAAACAUUUGUAAUCUGACUCGGGGCUAAUGUUUUGAGACACUGGUUUCUCACUUAAUAUCUUGGCUGAGGUGGUUUAACUGAGCUGGAUUAUAGUGGUCUUAAUUAAUGGUCAUUAGGGAGCAGAAAGGAGACAUGCUUCAUUAAAUCCCACCACCUCAGGCCCGAGGGAAGCCAGCGGAUCGUACCCGUCCUAAACCAACUUCACAACACAACCUCAGCACGUUCAUGUGGUUUCAGCUGCGUCAUAAAAUUAUAGACUGCUUUUUCAAUUACUCUGCUACUGUGAGAGCAGAGAACGGCUCGAUCAUCAUCACAGAUGAUGGCAUAUUACAUACAGUUCAGUAACUAUCUAGUUUCUACAGCUGUGCAGUUUAAUAAACAAGACAGCAUUGAGAAUACAACUACAGACUGUUGUGUUUCAGAUUUCUAUCGUCUUUUAUUUAUUUUUUUUGACCUGAAAAAUAAUUCCACUCAAUAACUAGUAAGUGUAGACUUGUAUUGAAGCAUACUGAAGACUUUCGUUUUUUAUCAUACGCCAAGAGCAGUCGCCAGGCACUUCACAAUCUCUUAAAGUUCUCAUCCAGCUUUCUGAAGAAUUUUUCUUAUUAUUGUACGCUUGUAAAACACAUUGUUAUUUUGAGGUGCGAUGGAGUUUAUAGUGAUGGACUCUGACUGGACAUAACAGCAGGUAUAUUGUAGUAAUUUCUAUGUAUUUCUGAAAUAAAGAAGUUGAGGUAUCAACUUUUAGCAGAGCAUUUACCUGUUACAUGCUAAUAUUGAUAUUUGAGAGCUUUUUGUAUGUGAAUUUCAAUGCAUUUUAAGGUUGCAUUGUAAUUUAUUUUCUUAUUGCAGCUUAAUAGUGUGCAUAAUUAUACAUUACAUCUUUUUCUGAGUGAAAAAAAUCAUGCAUACAGGUUUGGAGCAACACAAGGGUAAGUAAAACGGUGUUUUCCUGUUUUUGGUUGAAAUGUUACUUUAAUGCUGCUGAAACACAAAGCUAAAUGUCAGUAUUGCUCAUUUCAAUGCUUUUUACGGUUUUUAUUCGUCCUUUUUGCAGCUUUCAUGCAUAUUCAAAAAAAUUAAAUUUUAUUUGAAAAAGGAGUUCGGAUAUACUGCAAAACAUCUCCUUUUGCGAAAGAGAGAAAACGGUAAUGCAUGCAAGUUUGAAUGAACAAAAUGCUUGAUAGUGUGCAUAAUCAUCAACUUUCAUUGUAUAGAAAAGAGGAGUUCAAAUAUUCUGCAAAACAGAAUGUUUGAAGUCAUGCAUGCAGGUUUGGAACUACACAAGGGGCCCUGAGUCCAAAGGAAAAAUUGUGCUGAGCGAUUGAGUCUCAACGCUGCUGGACCUCUCCAAGCUUCUGUGAUGCAGAACCCAAUCUGAGAGCUUUGGUUUGAACCAUAAAUCCAACCAUAUAUGCAAUCCUCUUGCCAAGAUGAGCUUCAGAUAAUGCAGUGGAUCCGUCCGCACGGCAUACAUUCCCUUAGCUGCUGUGUCUUUUGGACGAGACAAGACCAGUGGCUUUGUGAAGCAGAUUAUAUAGAGACGCUUCUCUCCCUCCCGUCUGGCCGCAGAGCCGCUGGGUGCGUGAGUGAGUCGUCUUAAGGAGUCUUGCAGUAGAUCAGUUGCUCACACACUGUGUGUUCCAGAGCAAAGCCUCACACCUGCCUUGCCAAACGCUGUUGUCCCUCAAUCAUAUACAUUAACUUUGGCUGCUUUACAUUUAUUCUUGCAUUUUUGCAUUUCUACUGCAAUGUCCAGUUAAUUUUGCACAACAUCUUUUGCAUAAAUUUAAUGAUGUCUACUUAUUUUUAAUGACAGUUAAGUAGAAUAUACUCAAAAUUCAUUACUGUAAUGCAUCCACAUGUUUUUUACUUUUGACCAUUUCUUUGUAGUUUGAUUAUUUUCAAUAGUGAUGAUAAAUAAAUAAUAAAUAACUCAUUACUGUAACCUUUAACUUUAAACCUAAAGCAGCACAAAUGAAAGGAAGUAUAAUUAAAGUCCAUAACAUUACCAUAUUUAAAUUUACCAGUUAAGUCUCACACAAUUAUUUUUAUCAAAUUAAAAUAAUUUCUGUAAUUCGAUUUUAUGGGCAAAAUUGUCAAGACAUAGUGUCAAAAAAAAGUAUUUAUUUAAUUAUUUAUUUAUAUUUUUAAAACUUCCUUUAAACAAAAUAUAAUUUAUUUUCUUGUCUUUUGUUCUUUGAUUUUUAGGUGGAAUAUGAACCAGACAAGUUUUCUCAGAUGCACUCGUUUUUGUACUCUACACUACACCCACAACAUUUACCCUUAAAAAUCUUUCAAAUUAUAUAUAUA